GAAAUCAAAUGAAAUUAAAAUGAAUGAAUUUUUAAAAUCAAAUUUAAAAAGUGUAAAUGCCCACAAUGGGUAAAAAAUUACAUGAAUGAUGGAAUGAAUAUCUGAGAUUGUAUAUUUGAAAGUUAUGAAAAUAAUAUUUUUCAAUAAUUUUCAGCAAAAUGGGAAAAUAAGCAAUAAUGCUAAAUGAAAAUAUGGGAUUCAUAUUUUAUAGAAAUAUCUGUUCCACUUAUAGGAUGAUUACAACUGUUUAUAAUAUGCAUAGAAAAAACAAAAUUAUAAAAAAUAUUAACAGUGGUUAUAUUGUGAACGGACUGUAGAUUUGUUUUCUUCUUUAUGCUUUUUCCCUCCUAAAUUUAUUAUGUAUAUUUAUUAUAUUUACAAUCAGAAAAAGAAAAGUCAGGAAACAUUAAAGCUAAGCUUAGAGAAGAACAGUAUAUUCAGAAGGUUUGAAAAUCAAUCUCCUUUUUUCUUUCCAUGAGUGGGCACUUUCCCUUGGCUCAUUCUAAACAGACUUACCUAUUUUUCUUUAUUGUUUUCUCUUUGCAAACUAUAAGCAUUCCCUAAAGUUUAGCUUUUUCCUCCAUGAUUUAUUCCUGUAUUCUGCUCUUCCCUGACAGGAGAGUGGAAAGAACAUGAGCUUCAGAGCCAGUCACAUCUGAGCUUAGCUCUCCACGCUGCCAGUUACGCAUUAUGUGAUCUUAGGAAUGUUCCUUAGUUUCCUUGGGCCUAGGGUAUCAUCUGUAAAAUGGGAAAUAUUAGAGCUGCCUCAUGUUUUUUGGGGGGCAUGUGUCUGCCACCCACUGCAUAGUUCCUUAACUUUGUCGUCUCUAUAAGAUUAUUUUCCGAUCUCUUUUGCCUAUCUUGGUGUCUUUUUCCAAGGACUUCCUCUAAAUGUCUCCAGUGUUUCAAGUUGGAACACAUAUUUUUUAAACCAGUCUGGUUUUUUUCUGGAAGAUAUUAUUUUUGACACUCCCAUCAAUAGUUUUGGGGCAUUCUCUUGCCUUCCACUCCCUGUCACUGCACAGUCUUCCUUGGUGUGGUUCAUGUGGUUCCUUGGUGUGGUUCCUAGGUGAGGUAAAUGUUACUUCACACUUCGUUACUGUAGCUAUCAUAGGUUUUGUGCUUGCCUCCUCUUCUCACAGUCCAAGGACCAUUUUACAACACGGGUCUCCUUACACAAAAACUUGUAAUGCUUAUCUACAGUAUCUACAAUAUGAAAGCUGAUCUCCUUAGCCUGGGACUUCAGACUUUUUACACUGUUAUUCAACCUAAACACUUAAUUUAGCCCUGUAUUCUCUCCUCUAUGAACACUAGUCUAUUCACUAACCCCAGAUUGUGCACUCCUAUCUCAAAUGCUUUGUUAUAGCACAGAUUCCACAUCUUCCUAAAUAGUACCUAGUUGUUGGGGCCCAACAAAGCCAUGGAGUCUGAGUCUUCUAAUCCACAGUGGACUCUCCUUGACCUGUAUGACUUAACAUUGACUCAUUUGACUUAUAUUGACAUGUAUGAUUUAAAUUUUCAUGAGCUCCUCAAGCAUAUUAAAUUAGCAGAAGGAAUACAAGUAAGGAUACAGAAGGGAGAGAAAGAGAAGGUAUUUGAGGGCAGGACUAGGAGAAUGGCAAGCAACACUCACAGCACUCACUUGAACAUGGAAUUUUUGCGCUGUGCUUCUUCUAGGACAACCAGUAACACUGAUCCAUUUCUCACACUAACUGGGAUGGUCACAUUGAAGAGCAGCUCUACCCCUCUCAGCUGGUUGUUUAUGGUAUAGGUGACAGUGAUAUUAGAUGCUGAGGUUGGGACAGGGAAAGGGUAAUUGGGUAGAGUUGGUUGCGCCUCAUGAUCUGUGAAGAGUGAAGAUAUAAAAUACGUCAAAGUUUAUGGGGUUUCUGUGGUUGGUGUGAAGUCUGUUACUGACAACUUAUCCCAGAAACAUUUCAAGCAAGUAAUAAGUUUCAGACCAUUUAACAAGGUACUUGGACAACUAGUGUAGAAUCCUGGCAAAGACUCUAUGGCCAACUUGUUAAAGUUGGGAAAUCAUUGGGAAACAGCCCAAGGAGUUAGGUGAGUGUAAAUAUUCAAUAUGGUUGGGAACAGUUUUCUUAAUUUUGGUCUCUGUAGAUUCUGUGUUGAAAUGGACAAGAAGUUUAUAAUCUCUUCUUAGGAAGUUAAUUUAAGAGAAUAAUACUUUAUGUUGGUAUUUGACUAGAAAGAGGAGCUAGAAAUCCAUACCAGUACUAUCUCUGGAGUAUACAAUUUUAAUGAAGGAUCCCUACUUUCUAAACACACAUUUCUUCAAUAUUUGAAUUUAUGUAUUUCUGUAUUGUAUUUAUGAUUGGAUAAAAUAAAGAUAUUUCAAAUUAAAAAGUAGCAUGCUAUGUUUCCACUCCAUCCCUUUGGUAUUCUGUGAGCAUCAAGCUUUCAUAAUUAGAUGGCUAAAAUGUCAACUCUUUUAUCUUAGGCCUCCCAAAUAAAAUCAAUAAUUGGUCAUCUUUUUUUGCUUUUGCACUGUGUAUGGAUUUAAUUUCUAUUUAAUAUUUGUUUCAUUAUUCCAAAUAUUAUAGUUUUUGUGUAUUUGUCUCCUACUCUGUAAAAAGCAGAUAUGAUAAGAUAUGCAUAAUGUUUGGCGGUACAUUUGUCAAAUGAAUGUGAAGCUAUUUGGUUGUUCA
rnacentral:lncRNA from 1 species